GUUCUCACGUCAGCAGCACAUACACUAAAAUUGGAACGCUACAGAGGAGAUUAGUGUGGCCUCUGAGCAAGGUCCCUGCACAAGGAUGACACACAAAUCUGUGAGGCGUUCCAUAUUUUU
ensembl:snRNA U6 U6 spliceosomal RNA